UAUAAACGGCUAUUGUCACAGAUCACUAUAAAUAUGUAGCAAGCGCUAUUGUUGUUAUUAAUUGAUCCACAAAAUAGUUCUUUGGAUAAACCCAAUGCUAUUGAACAGUGAACACACAUUUUUAUCAACAUUCAUAAAAUGGCUAAUGACUGCUAUCUUAUGUCAACUGCCCUAAAGUUCUUAGCUGGGCAAAGUGGAGACAUUUGCAGGUUAUGUUUGGCAUCUACUGCUGGGCAAACCGUGACUAAUAUUGGCGAUAGUUUUUUACUCCAGAGGCCGUACUAUGAGGGCUCAGUUAAUUUCGUUGAAAUGCUCCACGAACUGGGUGUAGGAGCUGAUGAGGCGCUCCCAGAGAACUUCUGUAAUGUCUGCGCUGAUACAGUUGCCAACGCAUAUCUGUUCAAGCGACUCCUUAACUACUCUUCCAGCAAGUGGGCUGAAGUCAUGAGCAGGCUAAGCUCUAGUCUUAACUUGGCUGAAUCAGCCAGGCCAAAUGGGAAAUCUGUUUAUCUUAUCAUAAAUGAAUAUGGUAGUGACAUGUUCACCAGUCGCAAUAGCCCAAAAGUCAAAAAGGAUGUGCUGAUUCAGAUUCGAAAAAGUUAUGCAAAAGCCAAAGAAAAAAAAUCCACGAGUGUGAAGUGUACAGAAUGUUAUAAAAAAUUCAAAUCCAACAGCCUACUUUCAAAACACAAUGUAAAAGUUCACAAUAAAACUGAAAUUUCAUGUCCUUAUUGUUUCAAAAUGUUUGCUACACCUAGUCGGUUGGAAUACCACACAGAAAAGGUUCACUGUCCAAAAAAAAUUCAAUGUCCAAAGUGCAAUGAAAUGUUAAGCACACCCAGAAUGUUGAAAUACCAUGACCGGGCAAAACAUGUGGCAGUUAUAUGUAAACUUUGUGGUGUGCAGGUCCCAUGUAAACAAAAAUUACAAGCUCAUUUAGAGAAACAUAAAGCUAAUAAAUGUCCAAGGUGUGGAAAAACCUUUGCUACUAGUUAUACAUACAAGGCUCAUGUAAAGGCUUGUGGAAAGGAAGGGAAAACACCAAAAUUCUUUUGUGAUAUUUGUGAGAAAGGAUAUGUAAAAAAAGAUGGUUUACGCUCACAUUUAAAGAUCGAUCAUGGAUUUGGCAAAGUACUGAAAUGCAAAGUUUGUAAAAAGAAGUUUAUUAGGGCCAGUAAACUAAAGAAUCAUAUGGUAAAGCAUACGAAAGAAAAGAACUUCUGUUGCGACCAAUGUGGUAGUAAGUUUGUGACACAAGCUGGCUUAGUUUACCACGUCAGACUACAUACAGGUGAAAGGCCAUUUGUCUGUGAAUUGUGCGAUGAAAGGUUUGUUUCUGCUUCUCGUCUGAUGGAACAUAAACACAGAAAACAUUUUGGACCAACCAAGCAGUGUUCAAUAUGUCCCAAGAAAUUUGUGAAAAGUAGUCAGUUGAAAACACAUAUGUAUAGGCAUAGCAACCCACAUAGUAAGCUAUAUUCAGGAGCAGAUAUUCAGCCCGUCUUUGUGGAAACAUGCAAGCUAUAGAAGUGCUAUUUGCUUCUCAAAUGAAUGUGCUUAAUUUCAUGAGUGUACAAGUAGCUAUCGAGUUGUGAGGGGGCCAACAAUACCUCGAAAUGAUUUCUUUAAUGUUACACAUGGCUGUUAAAAUACCAGUUCCUUAUUUUAAUGUGGCUGGGCAUACUACCAAAUGACUAGAUAGAUUGUUCAUGUUCAAUGAUCAGACGGACACACAAACAUUUUAAAUAUAUAUAGAUGUCAUGAAUGCUCUUAUAAAGGAAUCAUGAAUGUU